UAGAGCCUGCAUUCUGGUUGGGGAUAACAGUAGUUUUUUUGUUUUUUUUUAAAAAAUGGCCAGCACUAAGCUACCUGCACCGGGAGGGAGCAGCCAUGUCCGGUCACUCGCAUGUGCAAAAUGCGCAUGUGAAAGCAUGCGCAUAACGAGCAAUUCAUGGCACAUUUUUAUUAUUUUUUAAAAAAACUACUUUCAUCCCUGACCGGAAUGUGGGCUCUAUUAGCCCUCACCUUUGGUUGGGGAAAACAUUUUUACCCAACAGUGCCCAGAGCAAGGAGGUACCAGCCCUGUGGAGCUGACACUGUAUGGAGCAAAUAUUUUAAACUUCAGAAUUUAACUUAAAAACCAAAAAAAAGUCAUCUGUUUACAAAUUCAAGUUUAGCAAAAUCUGGCAAACAUCUACAGAUGGCGGUCUAUUUUAAUCAUUCAUGCUAUUUUUUUUACCAGCCAAAAUCUUAAAAGUAAAUGGAAGAAUAUGAUUUUUUAUUGCAAUCAAGGUUUUUUUUAUGAAUUUGCUAGCGAUCGAAAAUGUGAAGUUUUGUAAAUAAAUACAUUUCCCUCCUUGUAUAAUGGAAGCAGUGAAAUAGAGAGACAAAGAGGAGGAGAAGAGAAAGGGGGAGAACAAGAUACGUGAGGGAGGAAGUUUCAAAAAGAGAGCUGAAGGAGCAAUAAUAUUCCAUAUAUUAUUUCUUGUCUUCAUAUUCACUAUUAUAUUAUUUGUAGAAAAUUUUAAUUUUUUUUAUAUAGAUUAAAGAACAAAGACAAUGUUUUAGAACAUUUUAAUGUAAACACAAAGGCUGGAAUACUAGAAUAAGAGCUUUUAACUAAUGUUCUGUUCCAGGCAACCAGUCAUUAAGAUGAUAAAUGUUGAUAUAAAAAAAAAAUCUUACCAGUGUUUUUCAGGAAGUACACACUUUACUUCGUCCGGAGAUGCUUGAGCAGUACUGCAAAGCGAAUUACUGCUUAUCCGAUGUAGCUGUAGAUUCAAAAGGAAUUGAAAUGUAAAAUAAAGCUGAAUUAUUGAAAUAUUUGAGAUUUUGUACAGGAGCUCAUGAGAUCCUAAUGGAAGAGCAAGAGAAUCACAUGAUGGAUUAAUUGAUCAAUCUGUUCAAGUAUCUCCAAUUAAGGCACACAUUUAAAACCCAAUUCCCCACCAGACCCACUGAACUAGUUGACUCUACUCUAGAGGUGUAUCUACGAAGAAAAGAUCCCAAGAACCUGGCUUUAUGCUGUACUAGGUCAGACAGGCCCAGAUCCCUCGGCCAAAAUGAGAGAGAAAUGGUCUAGAGACAUUCCAGGACUAGAGGAGGAGCUGUGGGUGGAUUCCUCGAAACAGGUUUCAGAUAUCACCAUGUCCGUCAGAGACGGGUAUAUACAAGUAAAAUUUCUGAAUGGAGUGUACCUUACACCGUAGGCUUACAAAGUUUCACCCAAUGACCUCAGACCAAUGUGUAAAGUUGGUUCCUACCUACAUGUGUUUUACGAUUGCCCAUUUUUCAAUGAUUUUGGGGGGAAUUUCUGCAUCAUAUCUCCUUAACCAUAAAUACCCCAUGUAUUAAAACUCCUUUGGUAUGUCUUGUAGGCACACACUAGGACUGUAAUGUAUAAUGCUGAUGAUUAUGUGAAUCACUGGCUCCACUGGCAACUUUCAACCUUUAAUUUUUCUUAUUUUGUGUAUUUCUUUACUUUCUGUAUUUAUAAGUUAAAUGUAAAAAUAAAAACUUAAAAAAGGUA